GACGAACUGAGCGAACGUUGUUCGGAAUCACUGGGCUUAAAGGGCGCGUAGGCGGGUGCUCAAGUCCGGGGUGAAAUCCUCCAGCUCAACUGGAGAACUGCCUCGGAUACUGGCGACCUUGAGUCCGGGAGAGGUGAGUGGAACUGCGAGUGUAGAGGUGAAAUUCGUAGAUAUUCGCAAGAACACCAGUGGCGAAGGCGGACUCACUGGCCCGGUACUGACGCUGAGGUGCGAAAGCGUGGGGAGCAAACAGG
rnacentral:rRNA from 1 species